rnacentral:rRNA from 1 species
GAGUUUGAUCUUGGCUCAGAUUGAACGCUGGCGGCAUGCCUUACACAUGCAAGUCGAACGGCAGCACGGGAGCUUGCUCCUGGUGGCGAGUGGCGAACGGGUGAGUAAUGCAUCGGAACGUAUCCUGGAGUGGGGGAUAACGUAGCGAAAGUUACGCUAAUACCGCAUAUUCUGUGAGCAGGAAAGCGGGGGACCUUCGGGCCUCGCGCUCUUGGAGCGGCCGAUGUCGGAUUAGCUAGUUGGUGAGGUAGAGGCUCACCAAGGCGACGAUCCGUAGCAGGUCUGAGAGGAUGAUCUGCCACACUGGAACUGAGACACGGUCCAGACUCCUACGGGAGGCAGCAGUGGGGAAUUUUGGACAAGUGGGGGACAACCCUGAUCCAGCCAUGCCGCGUGAGUGAAG